rnacentral:lncRNA from 1 species
GUUGUAGUAGAAUAUAAAAUUAUUCUUUUUUAAUUUUUAAGAAGUGUUUUGAAGAAAAUAGCUUUAUAAAUUUCUGCAUUUUCUUAUAAUCUUGACUUUGUAUAAACGACUGAUGAUUUCAUAAAGAACUUCUUAAAUGACCAUUUAAUUUAUUGAGGGUUAGACAUUGUUGGCGACAUUCAAAAAGUUUUGAAAUUUGCUGCAAUUAUGAUAUUAAUUUUGAUGUGAGGAUUUAGUAGAUGGCAAAAAGUCUUGUAUAAGAAUUUCUCGAGAAUUGAAACCUGUCUUAAAUCUGGUGAAGAGCGUUGAGGAUAAAAAACAAAUACCGUUAAAAUGGAAUUUUGGCGAAAGAGAAAUGGGUUGAAAGGAAAUUUAGUACAUCCUGAUCGACAAAA